GACGAACGCUGGCGGCGUGCUUAACACAUGCCAGUCGAACGAAAAGGCCCUGCUUUUGUGGGGUGCUCGAGUGGCGAACGGGUGAGUAACACGUGUGUAACCUGCCCUUGACUUUGGGAUAACUCCAGGAAACUGGGGCUAAUACCGCAUAGGAGCUCCUGCUCCAUGGUGGUGGUUGGAAAGAUUCGGCGGUUGGGGAUGGUCUCGCGGCUUAUGAGCUUGUUGGUGGGGUAGUGGCUUACGAGGGCUUUGACGGGUAGCCGGCAUGAGAGGGUGACCGGCCACCUGGGGACUGAGAUAGGGCCCAGUCGGCUACGGGAGGCAGCAGUGGAGAAUAUUGCGCAAUGGGCGGAAGUGUGAGGCAGCAACGCCGCGUGCGGGAUGACGGCCUUCGGGUUGAAAACCGAUUUGGCAUGUGACGAAGCGGGAGUGACGGUAAUGGGUAAAGAAGCACCGGCUAACUACGUG
rnacentral:rRNA from 1 species